GGGAUGUUCUCUGUUUAGUGAGUCCCCCAGAUCAGAGGCAGUAGGGAUGACCAGGGAUGUUCUCUGUUUAGUGAGUGCCCCAAAUCAGAGGCAGUAGGGAUGACCAGGGAUGUUCUCUGUUUAGUGAGUCCUCCAGAUCAGACAGUGUAGGGAUGACCAGGGAUGUUCUCUGUUUAGUGAGUCCUCCAAAUCAGAGGCAGUAGAGAUUACCAGGGAUGUUCUCUGUUUAGUGAGUGUGCCAGAUCAGAGGCAGUAGGGAUGACCAGGGAUGUUCUCUGUUUAGUGAGUGUGCCAGAUCAGAGGCAGUAGGGAUGACCAGGGAUGUUCUCUGUUUAGUGAGUCCCCCAGAUCAGAGGCAGUAGGGAUGACCAGGGAUGUUCUCUGUUUAGUGAGUCCACCAGAUCAGAGGCAGUAGGGAUGACCAGG
ensembl:lncRNA